rnacentral:rRNA from 1 species
CCGGCGCACGGGUGAGUAACACGUAUGCAACCUGGCCUGGUAAAGCGGGGAAUAAACCCGUUGAAAGACGGACUAAUACCGCAUAAUACUAAAUUACUGCAUGGUAAUUUAUUUAAACAUUUAUGGCUUACAGAUGGGCAUGCGCAUGAUUAGCUAGUUGGAGAGGUAACGGCUCCCCAAGGCAACGAUCAUUAGGGGUUCUGAGAGGAAGGUCCCCCCACACUGGUACUGAGACACGGACCAGACUCCUACGGGAGGCAGCAGUGAGGAAUAUUGGUCAAUGGACGAGAGUCUGAACCAGCCAAGUCGCGUGCAGGAAGAAUUGUCCUAUGGAUUGUAAACUGCUUUUGCAGGGGAAUAAAGUGCAUCACGUGUGAUGUUUUGUAUGUACUCUGCGAAUAAGGAUCGGCUAACUCCGUGCCAGCCGCGGC